rnacentral:rRNA from 1 species
CUACGGGUUGCAGCAGUGAGGAAUAUUGCACAAUGGGGGCAACCCUGAUGCAGCAACGCCGCGUGGAGGAUGACGCAUUUCGGUGUGUAAACUCCUUUUAUCAGAGAAGAACCAUGACGGUAUCUGAUGAAUAAGCUCCGGCUAACUCCGUGCCAGCAGCCGCGGUAAUACGGAGGGAGCAAGCGUUAUUCGGAAUCACUGGGCGUAAAGGACGCGUAGGCCGGUCUGUAAGUCAGGUGUGAAAUGCAAUGGCUCAACCAUUGAACUGCACUUGAAACUGCGGACCUAGAGUAUGGAAGGGGCAGAUGGAAUUAGUGGUGUAGGGGUAAAAUCCGUAGAUAUCACUAGGAAUACCGAAAGCGAAGGCGAUCUGCUGGGACAUAACUGACGCUGAGGCGUGAAAGCGUGGGGAGCAAACAGGAUUAGAUACCCCGGUAGUC